AUUGAACGCUGGCGGCAGGCUUAACACAUGCAAGUCGAGCGGAGCGAGGGUGCUUGCACCUUAGCUUAGCGGCGGACGGGUGAGUAAUGCUUAGGAAUCUGCCUAUUAGUGGGGGACAACAUUCCGAAAGGAAUGCUAAUACCGCAUACGCCCUACGGGGGAAAGCAGGGGAUCUUCGGACCUUGCGCUAAUAGAUGAGCCUAAGGCGGAUUAGCUAGUUGGUGGGGUAAAGGCCUACCAAGGAGACGAUCUGUAGCGGGUCUGAGAGGAUGAUCCGCCACACUGGGACUGAGACACGGCCCAGACGCCUACGGGAGGCAGCAGUGGGGAAUAUUGGACAAUGGGCGGAAGCCUGAUCCAGCCAUGCCGCGUGUGUGAAGAAGGCCUUUUGGUUGUAAAGCACUUUAAGCGAGGAGGAGGCUACUAGUAUUAAUACUACUGGAUAGUGGACGUUACUCGCAGAAUAAGCACCGGCUAACUCUGUGCCAGCCGCCGCGGUAA
rnacentral:rRNA from 1 species